CACGUAGGGUGCGAGCGUUGUCCGGAAUUAUUGGGCGUAAAGAGCUCGUAGGCGGUGUGUCGCGUCGGCCGUGAAAACCUGCAGCUUAACUGUGGGCUUGCGGUCGAUACGGGCAUCACUGGAGUUCGGCAGGGGAGACUGGAAUUCCUGGUGUAGCGGUGAAUGCGCAGAUAUCAGGAGGAACACCGGUGGCGAAGGCGGGUCUCUGGGCCGAUACUGACGCUGAGGAGCGAAAGCGUGGGGAGCGAACAGG
rnacentral:rRNA from 1 species